AAUAAAAGAUUGAGCUGGUUCAAAAACAGCAAAAGUUCCAAAAGCAUUGAAAAAGUUUAGUUCCGUAAUGAAAGCAGAUUUAAGCUAGCAAUUCAAAAACUAUGGAACUUUCAAAAAUAGCGAAAAAGAUGAGUUUCGAAACAAAGAUAAAUUGAGCUGGUUCGGAAAUAAAAAAUAUUUCAACUAAAUACCUUAAAAUGCUUAUCAUUAGGAAACUCUGAGUAACUCUAUUUUGCUGGAAGUUGUUUCUGCUUCUUUAAGAUGAUGUUUAAAAUGUAAAACACGUUCGCAUGUCAUAAAUGAAGCAAUAAAGAAUUUUAUUUAUAGCCGUAAGAAUCGUCUGGCAUAAAUUUACUUAGAUAAGAAGGGGCAUUACAAUGCUUAUCAUUUUCGGAAAUCGAAUCUUCUCUCCACAACUGUAAAAAAGAGUUAAAUAACCAUAAUUAGAAUGCAAAAGGCUCAGCGGGAGUCAAUGCUUAUAAGCAAAAGAAGAGCACUUUAGAAGCUUCUUAGAGAUUAUUAGGCGGAAAAAGAAAUCGUAAUUCUGGUGAUUUAAAACAAAUGGUAUUGUAAAAUAGGCUGAAAAGUUUUAAGUGAGGAUGUGGACACCACAACAGAAAGCUCAAUGCGUCUCAUGGCCGUAUUCGCUCCACAUUUUCUGGACUUGUGCUGGGUCGUCCGGCUCCACUUUUAUGCAAUACUGAUCCGGUGCUCAUGAAGCUUGUGUGCCAUG